rnacentral:rRNA from 1 species
UACGUAGGGCGCAAGCGUUGUCCGGAAUUAUUGGGCGUAAAGAGCUCGUAGGCGGUUUGUUGCGUCGGCUGUGAAAUCCCGAGGCUCAACCUCGGGUCUGCAGUCGAUACGAGCAAACUAGAGUGUUGCAGGGGAGACUGGAAUUCCUGGUGUAGCGGUGAAAUGCGCAGAUAUCAGGAGGAACACCGGUGGCGAAGGCGGAUCUCUGGGCCGAUACUGACGCUGAGGAGCGAAAGCGUGGGGAGCGAACAGG